rnacentral:rRNA from 1 species
CGUCUAUAUACGUAUAGCAUAUCAAUAAGCGGAGGAAAAGAGGGCCAUUACCUACGCUUAGGAUGUUGACACACGCGCGUGCUCGGCUCUAUACAUGACUCUGUGCAUAUCAAUAAGCGGAGGAAAAGAAACUAACAAGGAUUCCCUUAGUAACGGCGAGGUGAAGCGGGAAGAGCUCAAAUUUGAAAUCUUCAAGGUUCUACCUUGACGAAUUGUAGUUUAAAGAAGUGGUUUCUGUUAGAGGAGUAGCAAAAGUUCCUUGGAAUGGGACAUCAUAGAGGGUGAGAAUCCCGUAUUUGGUUAUUCUUUCUAGCUUUGUGAUACACUUUCAAAGAGUCGGAUUGUUUGGGAAUGCAGUCCAAAAUGGGUGGUAAAUUUCAUCUAAAGCUAAAUAUUGGCGAGAGACCGAUAGCGAACAAGUACCGUGAGGGAAAGAUGAAAAGAACUUUGAAAAGAGAGUUAAACAGUACGUGAAAUUGUCAAAAGGGAAGCGUUUGACACCAGUGUUGUUUUUCCGAAAAUCAAUUAAGAGUGGCUUGAUUUUGUGUUGUAUUGACCUUAUCAGCUUUCUUCACUCUUUUUCGAGUCUUUCUUAAUGCACUUUUCGGUUAACAAGUCAACAUCAAUUUCUUUUGUUGUAAAAGGGUAUUUGGAAGGUGGCUUUCUUUUCGGAGAAAGUGUUUAUAGCCUUAUACCUCUACAAUCGGAGAGAUUGAGGUCUGCAGCGUAGAUCCUUCGGGGCUAGAUACACUUGUGCUAAGUUAUAGCUUUUCAUAGACAACUUGUUGACUAUGUUUAGUCAUGUAGCUUACCCGCUUGUGCUAUUUUACCUACGCUUAGGAUGUUGAGUCAUCACACAUCUC